AAAACUGCGAGCAUUUUGCGCGUCUCGAUGAACGUUCGAAGCAAUACACUUACGCCGUUUUCUGAAGCGCUAUAGAAAACUAAAGUAGCACGUUACGGACUUUCGUGCGGAACUACAAUUAUACAGCAGCGAUUGCUAUUUUAAACAAGUAUUUUGAAAUAGGCUGAUUUUUUCGGUAAUAUUCAAAAUGGCGAUGAUGAUAAAGCAAGGGUACGUGGUGAUGCUGUUAUCUGUCUUCAUCCAGAUGUCACUUUCUGCACGAAAUGAUUCGAAGCCCAGUGAGGAAAAGCCUGAUUUCGAGCAACUAACGGGACAGCCAAGUACGAACACCACUGAGGAACCCAGCAUCGCGCACGGGUGUCCUACUAUUCAGAAACACCAAGCUGGGAUCGAAGACUGCUUGUACUACUGCGACUACGUGUCUCAUAACAACACUUGGCUUUAUGGGUAUUACCAAAACGGCAUAUACUGC